GAAGCAGACGAGAGUAGAAAGAGUUUUGGAGAGAGAUACUCGUCAUUGUCGGAUUUUAAUGUUGCCUUUUUAGUGAUUCUAGUGGCUCGACAUCAUUGAGAACAUGACAAAGCAGGUCUGCUUGGUUAAUUAAUGUGAGAGUGCUAAUGGUGCCAUUGAUGGUUUAAGAAUUGCUUAUGUAUGAUCAAAGAAUGUUAUGAACCAUUCUGAUCUUGAGGAUAUGCAAUUGUUGCAUCAAGCUCCGGAAUCAACUGAUAAAAAUGUGGAUAAAGAGUAAUUCGAUGAUGAGUUAUUGAACAUGCUUAGUGUUAGAAUCUCGGUGUAUACAUUUACUUGCUUCUAACCCAAUAAAUGGUUGGAUAUUAAGGAGUAUUAAAUGUGCUAAAUGCAGAGAUGACUACUUGAAGUACUAGUUUUGUUUAUGAUUUGUCUGGAGAGGGGCUGUCCUUGUUCCGGGGGCAUUACACGUUAUGGUGAUUAAACUUUUCCCUUGGCAUGCAUUAACUCGAUCCUUUGACGGGGUGCUGGCUCCGUAGAUAUGAGCUGCUUUUGGCCAAAUUGUCAUUACUAUUUUCACAUAGAGAGAAUCUGGGAGGAGGAUAAUCACGGUAAGUUUUUCGGCCUUGGGAGUGGGGAGAGCUUACUCUUUUUGUGCAGCCCUUAUUAAGAGCAAAAUAGUAUGAGUAUGGUAGUUUUGUAAGAAAAGAAGUCUUAUGGAUUUUGGUUUAUUGCAACUUAUGAAGGGAUUCGGGUAUAAUUAAAGGAAUCAAGUUGGUAGGUGAGGUAUAUUGAUCUUGUAUCAAAUGUGGUAAUCAUUUUUCCUCAUGUUAUGAGGAAAGCUAACUUACAUUCCAUGGGUGAUGGAUCAGAUGAUCCUUGAGUGGGAACUGUCUUGAUGUAUGGACGCUUGCAAUCUUACUUGUUAAAGUGCACAUGCAACCGUUGUUC